rnacentral:lncRNA from 1 species
AAAUUUCAGAAGAAUGUAUGAAAGGUGUUAAGAAAACAUCAGGGUUUUAAUAGAUGGAAGAGCUAUAAAAGAGACUGCAAUCUUGUAGCUGGAUCAUGAAGAGGAAGAUUAAGAGAGGUAAAGAGGUUAUCCAGAAUUCUGUAACUCUAUCUCAUGAUUUUUUUUUUUUUGGGUGAUCUUUUACCAGACACUAUGAUAUGCAUUUCCUGUGUGUCACUUUGAGGCCAUAUGUGAUUCUUGGGAUAAUUUAACAACAAUAUAUAAGUAUCCCAUCAAAGAGUAACAGAACUCAGAAUGCAGCGUAUUUAUUUCUUUCCUUAACAAACAAUCAACCAACUUUGCCUCAAUCACCAUUAGUUGUAGUAUGUAAUAUAAAUCCCCUUCACUCAUUCUGCUCUAUUCAGGUCCAUUACAACAUUUCGGAAAAUUCAAAAACCUCACAUUUUCAAGAACUAUGUCUGAUUUACAUAACACAACAAAGCAGAAUGAUAACUUUGGGUAUCUCACUAAC